rnacentral:rRNA from 1 species
AACGAACGCUGGCGGCAGGCCUAACACAUGCAAGUCGAGCGAGGACUUCGGUCCUAGCGGCGGACGGGUGAGUAACGCGUGGGAACGUGCCCUUUGCUUCGGAAUAGCCCUGGGAAACUGGGAGUAAUACCGGAUGAGCCCUUUGGGGGAAAGAUUUAUCGGCGAAGGAUCGGCCCGCGUUGGAUUAGGUAGUUGGUGGGGUAAUGGCCUACCAAGCCGACGAUCCAUAGCUGGUUUGAGAGGAUGAUCAGCCACACUGGGACUGAGACACGGCCCAGACUCCUACGGGAGGCAGCAGUGGGGAAUCUUAGACAAUGGGGGAAACCCUGAUCUAGCCAUGCCGCGUGAGCGAUGAAGGCCUUAGGGUUGUAAAGCUCUUUCAGCUGGGAAGAUAAUGACGGUACCCGCAGAAGAAGCCCCGGCUAACUCCGUG